rnacentral:lncRNA from 1 species
UACAUGCCCCAGAUGUUCUGGAAUGCCGGAUGUCAGAUGGUUGCCCUCAAUUUCCAGACAAUGGAUCUGCCCAUGCAGCAGAACAUGGCACUGUUUGAGUUCAACGGGCAGAGUGGCUACCUCCUAAAGCACGAGUUCAUGCGCAGGCAGGACAAGCAGUUCAACCCCUUCUCGGUGGACCGCAUUGAUGUGGUGGUUGCCACUACCCUUUCCAUUACGGCAAGGCCCAGGGUUGACAAGUGUCUGGGAGGGCUGGGUUCUUGAGAAGGAAGGCCAAGAAGCCCACCCCUCUACCUCAACCCCCUUUCCUGAUAUCUUGAAGACUUCAGCCCCAGCCAGUUCCUGCAGUAGCAAGUUGCCUUGGAAACUGCCUCCUCCUCAGCACUGGAGUCU